rnacentral:rRNA from 1 species
GAUGAACGCUGGCGGCGUGCCUAAUACAUGCAAGUCGAGCGAACGGACGAGAAGCUUGCUUCUCUGAUGUUAGCGGCGGACGGGUGAGUCACACGUGGAUAACCUACCUAUAAGACUGGGAUAACUUCGGGAAACCGGAGCUAAUACCGGAUAAUAUUUUGAACCGCAUGGUUCAAAAGUGAAAGACGGUCUUGCUGUCACUUAUAGAUGGAUCCGCGCUGCAUUAGCUAGUUGGUAAGGUAACGGCUUACCAAGGCAACGAUGCAUAGCCGACCUGAGAGGGUGAUCGGCCACACUGGAACUGAGACACGGUCCAGACUCCUACGGGAGGCAGCAGUAGGGAAUCUUCCGCAAUGGGCGAAAGCCUGACGGAGCAACGCCGCGUGAGUGAUGAAGGUCUUCGGAUCGUAAAACGCUGUUAUUAGGGAAGAACAUAUGUGUAAGUAACUGUGCACAUCUUGACGGUACCUAAUCAGAAAGCCACGGCUAACUACGUG